UCCUUCUGGAGGAAGCUCACAGUUGCUGAGCAGGAGCCUAAGGCAGAACACAGAGGUUUGGCAGACCGGAAGCAUCAGCUAUGCUAUAAAAAUUAUGCAUGUCUGUAGAGAAUAGCCUGUUCUUUGCUAUCCAAAGAGACAUCUUAUUAUUCGACACCCAUGGAGCUGCACAAAUAAGAGUCAGCAGGCAUCAAGCCAUCCUCUUGGAAAAAAAAUUGGCAUCUCCCUCUCUGGCACAUCUGGUUUAAUCCUAUUUGGCAUUCGCUGUGCAGUAAACAAUGCUGUGGAAGUUGGAAGUGAAAAGUGGAAGAAUGUGGGAAGGCGCUGAACAGAAGCAGAAGAAGAGAUGCACGUGUUUAAGACACUUGGCCCUGGAGCAGCUGGAUGGCACAGUGACACAGGACUCAGUUGUGGCAAGGAAGGAUUUUCCCCUUUAACUGGCUUGAAACAGGCAGCAAUGCAGGGAGAGACCUGCAACAAACUCUCCAAUGUCCUAUUGAGUGGGCCUGGUGUCAUGUGUCUCAUUCUCCAUUCCUUAAACCCACAACAGCCUUCAGUCAUUAAAUUCAAUUUCCCACUCUUCUUUUCUGGAACAA